UUUACGUUUCCAUUCAGUUAAGUUCAUUUAUACAAUCAACAACAAAUGUGAUCUCAAGACAUUGUAUAUCACAAACAGACCCAAUUCAUAUUAACGUACUUGUUGGGAAUUGGGAGUGUCAUUCUGUGCUUGUCCACCAGAGGUCCUCCUGGAACCACUGCUGACUCUACUACUGGUGUUCCUGAUCUUUGGCCGAUUGUGUGUACCUGGGAGGAGUAUUUAGGAGCCUGCCACCAGUCCUUUCUUUCCUCAGUUUUUUUGCCCAUGUGGUAAUCACCAAGCCAGUUUAACUUUGACAAUUUGACCUGAUCCUGAGCUAACCUUGUUUUUUUUGUCUGCUUCCUGCUACUACCUGUGAGGUGUGGGCAGUUUCCUCUUUACCUGUACCUGGACUUCCAGUAUCUCUCUCUACAGUUUGUGAACUUUGGAUUAUCACCACUAGACUGUGGUUUGGAUCCUAAAUCUCCCAAGCUCCGUCCUCUGUAUGGACUCUGAUCUGUGGUGGACCGCUCUUAUUGGACUAGCCUUCUGGAUUACCUGAUUCCCAAGCCAGAUGGUAAAGAACCCCAGCUGUUUACUACCUGUGACCCAAAGAACCCGAGAAGUCUGAAGUACCUGCCUGAGCAUUUCCUACCAGGUUUCCAGUGUGACUUGAAACAUUGACUGUAAAUAAACCUUUGAACCUU